UUCCUUUCUUUAGUUACCAUUACUAAGAUAAUCUGACUUCACGAAGAGAGCAGGAUGUUGAAAACUAAGUGAAACCACAAUGAAAAAAACAACAAAGCAGAAUUCCGUGUUCCAAGAAACGGAGCUGUCCUAGGGGUUCCGAAGUAGACCAAUAUGAUGGAAGGCAUGCGACAGGGUGCAUAUCCUUGGGCAAUUUCUUCUGCCUGGUGGCUCUCUAAAUCCCAGAACGUAAUAACAAUGCUGCCCUUUGAUCUCGAGUUGUUGGAUCAAUCACCAAUGUGAACAAACAAGAAUGCUCUCUGCAAAUCUGAAGUUGUGCUAUAAAUUCAAUUUUAUCAAAGAAAAAAACCAGAAGAGACAAGCAUCUUUCAAAAGCAGAUAAGUAUCCCCUCCUAGGGAUGUAAUAUCACCAAUAAGUCCUCUUAAUGAGAGAAAAUCAUCCCCACUCCUGAUAAUUUCUGGAUCAAAGAGGGAUUUGCAAAAAGCAGCCUGCAUCGUAAUGUUUGACUAAUGGCCUAAUCCAUCAACCGGCAAGUAUUGAUGCAACCUUCAGGCCCUGCCAGGCACUGGGCACUGGAGGAUUCUGAGGAGCACAGGCUGGAACUCUGGACUCACGGCCUUGUUGGCUUCUGCUCAAUAUCCCAAAGUAAGAGACAGAUAUGCUCCUAUCUGGCGUGUGAUGUAACCAUGACCUCUGCCAAAAGAACAGCCCUUCCAAGAGCUUCCACCUCCGUGGACCUGGCCUCCACCUGCAGUCCGGAAUGGGGCUCAGGCCAAGGUAUUGAGCCCCACCCUCUUCCUUUUUUAAUUAAAAAAAAAAAAACCAUCAAAACCAGAAAUGCUUUCAAAGCUGACUCUGGCUCUAGGGGUAAAAGCUUGAAAUAGCCAUCCAUGAAAAAUGAAAAGUAAUAAAUAUUGUGCUCAUGUGAUCUGGGGAAUCUUAAUGUUUUUGUUUGUUUGAAGCUAAAGACCUUACUUCUCUCCAACAGUGUAUUUAUUUAUUUAUUUCUAAUCAACCCAUUUGUACGGCCCUCAGUGAAGAACAGGAUGGUGUGGUUACCCCUCAUUUCACAGAGGAGUCAAGCGGGGAUCCAAGAGAGUCCAGAGUUCGUGAUCAAACGGCCCCCUCAGGGAGCCCAGCCUUUCUGCCUAUAAAGGCUGGCACUGACCUCAGAGGUCUGGGCAGAAACACGGAAUUCAAUCUGAGUUCUGGGCACAGAGAGAGGGGCGAGACGAAAUUUCUCCCAUUCACGGGACCCUUUCACCUUCUUUAAUUUAGCCAUUCAAAAUAGCACAACUCUAGUGCUAUCCACAGAGGAGUCCUUAAUGCUUCCUAUUUUCCUGGUCGCUUCUUAGACUCUGCUGGGCAAGUUAAAUGGGGUAUUCAUCACUACCUCUGAAAAUUCAAAUCUGUGUAUUCAACCA